CGACGAAGCGGAAGCGAGAAUGUCGGCUUGAGUAACGAAAACAUUGGUGAGAAUCCAAUGCCCCGAAAACCCAAGGUUUCCUCCGCAAGGUUCGUCCACGGAGGGUGAGUCAGGGCCUAAGAUCAGGGGCCUAUCGCUCUUUCCUUGUGCUUAUUUCGCUUUAGGGGGUUGGUUUACAGGGACAACUUUUGUAACUUCUUGGUAUACCCUUUGCUGUCGAUGCAGGCAAUAAUAGAUAGGAGAUGCGCACCUAGAAAAGACGGAUGAAAGAGAACCUGCCCUUCUGACUUCUUCUCUUGCCUGGAAACACGUUUUCCUAUUCCAUCUUUUCCCAAAUCUCCCAUAACGGAAGAAAUAGAAGCUCGAGAAGGAAUACCACUAAAAACCUAGUUCGCUCUCAAAUAAAAACCUAGUUCACCCUCCACAAUAAUAAGAAAUCCAAGAA
rnacentral:ncRNA from 1 species